rfam:Euryarchaeota archaeon RBG_13_57_23 RBG_13_scaffold_490, whole genome shotgun sequence.
GCCCGAGUGGGGUAGCUUGGAUAUCCUAGAAGCCUGCGGAGUUUCAGACCUGGGUUCAAAUCCCAGCUCGGGCG